rnacentral:rRNA from 1 species
CUACGGGAGGCUGCAGUGAGGAAUAUUGCACAAUGGGGGAAACCCUGAUGCAGCAACGCCGCGUGGAGGAUGACGCAUUUCGGUGUGUAAACUCCUUUUAUAUGUCAAGAAAAUGACGGUAGCAUAUGAAUAAGCACCGGCUAACUCCGUGCCAGCAGCCGCGGUAAUACGGAGGGUGCAAGCGUUAUUCGGAAUCACUGGGCGUAAAGGACGCGUAGGCGGAUUAGAAAGUCAGGUGUGAAAGCCUACAGCUUAACUGUAGAACUGCACUUGAAACUCCUAGUCUAGAGUAUGGGAGGGGGAGAUGGAAUUAGUGGUGUAGGGGUAAAAUCCGUAGAUAUCACUAGGAAUACCGAAAGCGAAGGCGAUCUCCUGGAACAUUACUGACGCUAAGGCGUGAAAGCGUGGGGAGCAAACAGGAUUAGACACCCUGGUAGUC